rnacentral:snRNA from 1 species
GUGCUCGCUUCAGUGGCAUAUAUACUAAAACUGAAACAAUACAAAGAUUAGCAUGACACCUGUGCACAGAUGACAUGCAAAUUCAUGAAGUGAUCCAUGUAUUU